AGGGGUGUAGCUCAAUUGGCAGAGUAGUAGAGUCCAAAUCUAUUGGUUGCGAGUUCGAGUCUUGCCACCCCUG
rnacentral:tRNA from 1 species